CUUUCUCAUCUCAGACUGCUGUUGUCAUCUGGCUGUAAGCGACUGACUUUUCUGAUCUUCUUCUGAACUCCUGAAAAACAACAAAAACAAUACAAAGACAAGAAUAUUCUCAGAUCUACUAGAUCGUCUGAGGGAUUUGACUGAAUAAAGAUGCUGCUGAUCAUUGAAGCUGCUCUUCUCAUUUUAGCUGCUCUAGGACAGGAUCACACAACUGCUGCUGCAGAACAGAUAUUUCCACUGGAUAUGGCACCAAAUUCAGUUGAUGAUCAGUAUAAAGGUUGUACAGAGAAAAUGAGGAAUCUGGUGGAGACAAAAUAUCUAGUGACGGAAAAAUCUCAACCUGAAUCUGAAUUUGCAAUACUUUGGGAUAAUGGAGUAUGCAAAGUCAAGACACCGGGAGACAACUUGUCAAAACAUCAUUCAGUUGCCAUUUAUGUGAAAAUAUCACAGAGGUCUCUGGUGUGACACUGUGUUCACUUUGAAAAGCUCUGGGAAAAAAUGUGAAAUGAACUGUGCGGUGGCAUUCAUGAAAUUUAGGACAUUUUUAAUUAUUAUUAUUAUUGUUGUUGUUGUUGCUCUUAUUGUUUUUGUUAUAUGUAUUUUUUUAUCAUUGCAAUAUAAUUGCGAAGUGCCAUGGUUUGCUGCGCUGUAAAACAUGUGUGUAAUUUUAACACUAAAAGGCAGAAAAAAUGCCACAGAAAGAACAUGUGUAUUGUUUAACAGUAUGCUUGCUUACUUCUGUAUAUGUAGUGAAAAUCUGUAAUAGAUAAUGGGACAUAUUAUGUAAUUAUACAGUACCUUACUAUAAAAACAAAUUACCUUUAUUUAUAUACCACCUUUAACAAUACAGAAUUGUGACAAAGCGGCUGUACAGUAUUUAAUAGGAAAUAGUACAUCAACAAUGCAAAAGGGCAACAAUAAACACUCAAUUUUCAGGUAAAGGUAGUUAAUCAAAUACAAUAAAAUAAAAUACAAUAUUGUGUGAAGAGAAAGUCUCCCCAAUUAAGCAAGCCAGGGGCGACAGCGGCAAGGAACCAAAACUCCAUCUGUGACAAAUGGAGAAAAAAACCUUGGGAGAAACCAGGCUGAGUCGGGGGCCAGUUCUCUUCUGGCCAGACACA